UCCGUUGUCGUCUAUUCCGGUCAGAUGCCUGGCUUUCAUCCAGGCGACCCUAGUUCAAAUCCCGUCAACGGAA
rnacentral:tRNA from 1 species